AUCGUCUGGCUGUUCCUGGAUAUAAUUAUGCUCCAUGAAUCAUGCCAGUGGUGGUUUUCUUCUUAACCCUAUCAUGGUGCUCUUUCAUAGCUCAAAACUUAGGAUUUGUCCUUGUGAUCCAACUUCAGCAAAAAGUCAAUUAUAUUCCAUAGUAUAAGUUUAUAAACUGCCAAGAAUUUAUUUUGCAAAGGUAUUAAAUGUCUCCAGAAAAAAAGUCAAAUAUGCAUGAUUACAAAAAUCUCUUCCUGAUCCCUAACCCCAAAUUUUCCUCUUUGGAGGCAGCCAUAGUAUUAGGCAUUUGUCUUCCUGUGACAGAUUUAUAGAGACCUACAUGUAAUUCUGUCUUUAACCCACAGUACGGUUAAAUCACAUCACCUUUUACUUUUCUCAUUGACAUUGUCAUCUCAGCAACACGCAAACACUGUGUUCUUUUUAACUACUACUGCAUUCCAUGAUUUAUUUAGGUAAGUGAUAAACAUUUACCUGUUUCUAGCCUUACUUUCAUACAAAUACUUCAGGGAACAUUCUUUUGCCUGUUGUAUAAUGGCCAUCAGAUACAAUUUAGGCUCAGAGGGUAUGUAAAGUUUUAUAUUAAAAAUAGGUACAGUUGUUUACAGGAGAGUGCUUGCUUCUCCAUUUCCAUCCCAACAGUUAGCCAACAUUUUAUGUGUCAAUCUAAAAUUUGAAGUUUGUCACUGUUCUGUUCUUUUCUUGAGAUAGGUUCUCAUGGUGUAGCCCAGGUUAUCCUAGAACUCAUUAAGUAACCCAGGCUAACCCAGAAUUCAUUAUUCUCCACAGUGCUGAGAUUAUAGGUAUGUUUCCAUGCCUGGUCUACCACCGCAUAAUUCUCAUUUACAAUAGGGAUGAAGUUGAGGCUUCCUUGUGUGUCUAUGUUCAUGGAGAGUAUAUAUGAGUGGGUAAAGGUCAGGGGUUGACACUGGAUGUCUUCCUCUUCUGCUUUCUGCCUGUUUUUGAGAGCCUGACCAGCGAGCUCUGGGGAUCCACCAUGUCCUCCUUUGUUUACUCCAAUCUUACCUGCUUUGGAUAAAAAUAAGCUCGUGCUACCAGAGUCUGAGUCUGCUUCCGAGACAGUGUCCCUGGCUGAUGUCGAUAGUGUCAUUUAUAUCCUAUGCUGGAAUAUGGUGUGGAUGACUCAUGAACACAUACAGGCCGAGUACCCACUCUUGCCUUACGCUACUGUGGAGACUCAAACACAGGAGUGGAAAGUGUAGUAGACUCUGGCCCUGCCUAAGAAUUUAUAUUCAAAGAUCAAUUAGCAAACUCAGCAGUACUACAGAACCAACUGGAAAUUACAGAUAAGGGCCAUGAGGGUUCAGAGGCAGCAGAGCAGCCUAGCCUGAAGACAAGAGUGGUGAACUGAAGAAAACUACCAGGGUAAGAUGGUUUUAAACACAGCACAAGAAGGAUACACACUGCUCCCUUAGGAGGGGAGACAGACUUAAACGCCAGCCUGAGGCAUUUGCACAUGGCCUGGUAAGCAGUUAGGUCAUGCCCCUGAGGCUGUAGAAAGGGUAUUUUAUGAAGAUUAAUAUAGCAAGGAAGUAUAUGAGAUGCUAGAAAAUAAGUUAUCAGUUAUUAGACACCUUUUUGCUUGAAAUAAUGGAAAGAUUUUAAUGUAAACAGAACAGGAACUUUAUCAAGAAAUCGAUCUCCCUCCUGUUUUUGAGAUGGCGGGGGGGAGGGGGGUGUCUCAAUGUUCCCCAGGCUAGCCUAAAACUUGCUAUGUAGCCAAGAAACUGAACUCAUCUUCCUGCCCCACUUCCACAUGCUGGGAUUACAAGCAUGUACCACUGCUGUCAAAACAAAAAGGAGAACUCUGUUUGGGUAAGAACUAUGUACUGGAAAGAAGGAGGGGGGAGGGGAAGGGAGAGAGAAGAGAAGAGAAGAGAAGAGAAGAGAAGAGAAGAGAAGAGAAGAGAAGACAGGGGCUGGAAAGAUGGCUCAGGGUUAAGAGCACUGGCUGCUCUGAUCUUCAGAGGCCCUGAGUUCAAUUUACAGCAACCACACAGUGGCUUACAAUUCUAUCUGUAUUGGGAUUUGAUGUCCUCCUCUGCUGUGCAGACAUACCUACAAAGCACUUAUAUAUGUAAAAUAUAAAAACGAACCCUUAUUGGCCAGACUGUGAUGGGACAUGUCUUUAAUCCCUGGAGACAGAGGCAUGUGGAUCUCUGAAUUUGAGGCCAGCCUGGUCUACAAAGCAAGUCCCAGGACAGCCAGGGCUACACAGGGAAACCCUAUCCAAAAAAAAAAAAAAAAAAAAAAAAAAGAAAGAAAGAAAGAAAGAAAGAAAGAAAGAAAAGAAACUAUUAACUUUAACUUUUAAGUUGGAAUUAUAAUAUUAGGGAGUUCGGAACCUUGCUAUGUAGACUAGGAUAGCCCAAAAUCACAGUGAAUUUCCUGCUUCUGCCUGCUAUAUGCUUAAGGCAUGCACCAUUAUGCCCUGCUACUCGUCUAAAAGCCAAAGCGGCCAGACACAGUGGUGAUGUAUCUACAUGGCUUUGUGCUGUGUUUUGUGGGGCUGGGGUAGGAGUGUAAUAGAAAUCCACCCUUUAGGCAGAUAGGACCUCUGCAGUCUUGACAUCAGAGUAGCUGUGAUUACCCAGCUGAGACCCCAAAAUAUCCCAUGGAUGCCUAGGCACCUUCCCUCCUUGAAGUGGGGAAGGGGGUAUAUGUUUCAGCUACCCACCAACUCCUGCACACCCACCAGAACCAACCAGCUUCCCCACCUCCCCACUGGUUUUAGGGGUGGCACGGCUUACAAUAGGUAGGUUUACUGGGGUUUCCAGUGAUGUGGCUUUUCCAGGCUCCUUGGCAUGUCCACACAUCAGUAUUUUACCCCAAUAACCAAACAAACUGGACCUGGAUGGAAUGAUUUCUUUGUUUGUUGGCGUCCUAACCAGGGUAAAUGUGCAUCUCCCUGAACAAAGGAAUGCAGGACUUUUGAUGCAUUCUAGGCAAGCCCUCUACUACUAAGUUACAUCCCUAACCCUAAUAUAAAUGUGAUAAUGUAUCCAGUAACAUACCUUAUUAAGUAUCAUUAUUAAAAUACUGCCACGGGGCUUGCAAGAUGGCUUAGCCAAUAGACACUGUGGACAAGCCUAGUAACCUGAAUUUAAUCCCAGGUGGCAGAAGAGAACUGACUCUGGGAGAAUUACCCUCUGACCUCCACACUCUUUGUGGGUUUCCACUCAGGCCCACUCCCCAAAUAUUAAAACAAACAAGCAAACAAACAACAACAAAAACCUAUGGUAUUAUUACAAUGGUGCUAUAAAAUUUACCCUCAAACAGUUCAACAUCCUAAGGUCAAUUACCCAAUACACAUUUAAGAGCUGUGGGGAACAAACAAGUACGUGCGUCUCUAGUCCACACCAUUCUGAUAGUAAACUGGCAUAAUCUUCAUUUUAGAUAGGGAGUGACAAGUAUCAAAUGUAAAUUCCGUUUCUUUCUAAAAUUAUCAGGACCUGAACAUGUUUAAAAAUGCAACAUGUUGAAAAUCUCCAACGUUCGGUGAUAAGAACAUUCAUCAGAUUGUGGUAGUGCGCCUGUCCUUGCCCUUCCUGGAACCCACACACGGGCCCUCUUCCAUCAAUUAUACAUAGUCCUCCAAAGGUGACCUCCGCAGAAAACUCUUACCGGAUCUAGCCAGGAAACUUGCCCUCGAUCUCCCUGAACGCAAUUGCUCCCCAGUUAUUAUUAAAGUGUUCGACGUUGCAGAGCCGAAAUAAUUUCUUUAAUUGUGAUUCUCUCUUCACCGCCUGAGCUCCCCCGACCGAAAGGCGUCCCUCUCUGGAAGGGGAGCAAGAACAGGAAGCAAGAAGCUCUCCCGGUUCGCUCGCCACUUGGGCCAUCGUGAACAGCACGCGAUCCUUGGAGUCAGAUCCUGUAGUGUCUCUGUGGCCCUGCUUUCCGCUCUAGUCCUCCCGCUCUCGAGGGGGUGAUUCCUCCCGUGAAGCCCUUAGUCGGAGGGUUUCCACAUACUAGAGACAAACCGGUCCCGACGGACCCGGGGAACAACCUGCGCGCGCGCUCUCCAACUCGCGCGUCUCCAGACAAGGACCCGCAACCCCGAAAUUGAGCUCCCUGGCAAGGCACUGACCCACUGUCAAACAGGAAUGAAACUCCGAGCUUCGGCCGCCUCUGGAGGCGCCUCAACCUCACAAGGAAGAAGCACGGCGUCUCUAGAGUAGGUGCUGUCGCACACGUGUGACGUAACCACACCCCCAGUCCCUUUGCCUGGUUUCG
ensembl:lncRNA